rnacentral:rRNA from 1 species
CUCCCGCCGGCGACCGGCGCACGGGUGAGUAACACGUAUGCAACCUGCCCGUGGCAGGGGGAUAAGCGGGGGAAACCCCGUCUAAUACCGCGUAACGCGGCCUUGGGGCAUCCCAAGGCCGCCAAAGGGAGCAAUCCCGGCCACGGAUGGGCAUGCGGCGCAUUAGCUAGUCGGCGGGGUAACGGCCCACCGAGGCGACGAUGCGUAGGGGUUCUGAGAGGAAGGCCCCCCACACUGGUACUGAGACACGGACCAGACUCCUACGGAAGGCAGCAG